rnacentral:lncRNA from 1 species
GGAGAGCCAGUGAGUUUCGCUGGUAUCUGUGUCAGCCAGGAUCUCCUCAUUCCAGAAGAAGAACUGCAGGGGUCUGGGGUAUCCUUGUGUAUCAACCAGGAAAUGGAGAAGCCUGUUCUAAGUUCACUUGAAGCCAAAUUACAAAGGAGCAGACGGGAUCCCAGAAACAAAGAUGGCACCAGCUACGAUUUAAGAUUCCAAGAAGAUGAAUCUGGAGUGGACCAAGAUCUGGUGUAGAGACUUACACCCUGUGUCAGCCAGCUGCCUGUGACCGAGACAAACAUCUGAGAUGGGUCAAUUUAAGGAGAGGAACUGGGAGAUGGUCCGGAUGGUAAAGCACUUGCUGUGUAAGAAGGAGAGACUGCGUUCAGGUCCCCAGUACCAAGGGCAGAAGCCUGCGAGCAGAGGACUUCUGAGGCCCAUGCUUGACCUCAGAACACGAACUUACUAUCAAGCUUAUUAAUAGACGGCAUACCUCCUGCUAUUGUGCCUUUUCAGUCCCGUCUUUUGUUAUGUCUUCUAUGAUGCUGGAACUGCGUGUUACAUAUUUAUACAGUAAGAGAGUAAGUAUGUCAUGUGUCGUAUUACUUAACGGCAUCACAGUUUGUACAUAGAUAGACCCCCAUAUCUGAUCCCACAUGGAUCCAAUGUUGGACAAAAGUUGGACGUAAAGAAUUUUUAUAAAAAAU